rnacentral:rRNA from 1 species
GGGGAUAACUACUGGAAACGGUAGCUAAUACCGCAUAACGUCGCAAGGCCAAAGAGGGGGACCUUCGGGCCUCUUGCCAUCGGAUGUGCCCAGAUGGGAUUAGCUUGUUGGUGGGGUAACGGCUCACCAAGGCGACGAUCCCUAGCUGGUCUGAGAGGAUGACCAGCCACACUGGAACUGAGACACGGUCCAGACUCCUACGGGAGGCAGCAGUGGGGAAUAUUGCACAAUGGGCGCAAGCCUGAUGCAGCCAUGCCGCGUGUAUGAAGAAGGCCUUCGGGUUGUAAAGUACUUUCAGCGGGGAGGAAGGGAGUAAAGUUAAUACCUUUGCUCAUUGACGUUACCCGCAGAAGAAGCACCGGCUAACUCCGUGCCAGCAGCCGCGGUAAUACGGAGGGUGCAAGCGUUAAUCGGAAUUACUGGGCGUAAAGCGCACGCAGGCGGUUUGUUAAGUCAGAUGUGAAAUCCCCGGGCUCAACCUGGGAACUGCAUCUGAUACUGGCAAGCUUGAGUCUCGUAGAGGGGGGUAGAAUUCCAGGUGUAGCGGUGAAAUGCGUAGAGAUCUGGAGGAAUACCGGUGGCGAAGGCGGCCCCCUGGACGAAGACUGACGCUCAGGUGCGAAAGCGUGGGGAGCAAACAGGAUUAGAUACCCU